GAUGAACGCUGGCGGCGUGCCUAAUACAUGCAAGUCGAGCGAACAGACGAGGAGCUUGCUCCUCUGACGUUAGCGGCGGAAGGGUGAGUAACACGUGGAUAACCUACCUAUAAGACUGGGAUAAAUUCGGGAAACCGGCGCUAAUACCGGAUAACAUGUUGAACCGAACGGUUCAACAGUGAAAGACGGUCUUGCUGUCACUUAUAGAUGGAUCCGCGCCGCAUUAGCUAGUUGGUAAGGUAACGGCUUACCAAGGCAACGAUGCGUAGCCGACCUGCGAGGGUGAUCGGCCACACUGGAACGGAGACACGGCCCAGACUCCUACGGGAGGCAGCAGUAGGGAAUCUGCCGCAAUGGGCGAAAGCCUGACGGAGCAACGCCGCGUGAGUGAAGAAGAUCUUCGGAUCGUAAAACUCUGUUAUUAGGGAAGAACAAAUGUGUAAGUAACUAUGCACGUCUUGACGGUACCUAAUCAGAAAGCCACGGCUAACUACGUG
rnacentral:rRNA from 1 species